AUGGCCAAGAUGGCCGUAGAAUUAAAAGGCACUGCUGACCAUUGCCAGUUCCUUGAAGAAGAGAACCGAGUGAAGGCAGCGGACCUUGAGAAGGCCAUGAUGGCGAGCAAAGACACUCGCUCUGCUAUGAGGGCGAAGAAGGAGGAGCUGUGGGAAGCCAGGGAUAUUGCGGCUGGGAAGCCCUUUCUGCUGCAGAGGAAGUUCAGAGAUCCGCGGUAUGCCCCUCUGGAUCGGCUGUGGAGUUUGGCAGACGCAUAUAUGAACUUGGCGGCAAGCGCUGUCGAUGCGGUCGAAUACUUCCGAGAUAAGUCAGAUCAUGAAGUAGACAAGUUGUUCUGGUCGCAAUUUAACGUUCCAGAGCGUCCGCUUCCCUUGACUGAUCAACUAGCCGAAUGGGCCAAACUUAAUAGGUUGUCCAGACUCGCCAUGGGGUCCAUUGUAGAUCAUUUGUGGCCGGAGAAGCCGAAGCCAAACAGCUAUUUCAGCUUAGUGCAGCAGUUCCUUGGUGCGGUGCCGCGCAUCAACGCGAUGAAGAGGUCGGUGUGCAUAGAAGGCUCGCGGAUGGCCUUUGCCCGUGUCAAGGCAUACUGGGCGGAGAUGGAUGCUACCACUGUUGUGGCGCAAGGUUUGGCCAUAGGCCGAGUAGCUGCUGAGCACUAUUUUGAAGAGGUUCUUGAGGGUGCUCGUUUGAUAGAGUCCCAGUGCUCGAAGAAUAUUAUGUUUGAGUGA
rnacentral:rRNA from 1 species